rnacentral:misc_RNA from 1 species
AACACUGUUAACCUGCGGUACCUGCGGAGGGAUCAUUAAAAAAAUAAUGAAUGUCGGAGGGCGUUCAAAGUUUCUUACCUGUCGCUCUCCGUGUAUUCAACCAACCCGCUCUUGCAUUUGGAUCAACCAAAAAUAAACAAAAAUACUUUUAUAAUAAAAAUAAACUUUUAACAAUGGAUCU